rnacentral:tRNA from 1 species
UCGGCCGCGGCGGGCUUGGCGUCCUCGGCGGCAAUCGGAGCGGCCGCAGCCGGCAGCGGCGGCGGGGUCGGUGCGGCAGCCGGCGCGGCCGGU